UGGGGAAUUUUGGACAAUGGGCGAAAGCCUGAUCCAGCAAUGCCGCGUGUGUGAAGAAGGCCUUCGGGUUGUAAAGCACUUUUGUCCGGAAAGAAAUCCUUGGCUCUAAUACAGUCGGGGGAUGACGGUACCGGAAGAAUAAGCACCGGCUAACUACGUGCCAGCAGCCGCGGUAAUACGUAGGGUGCAAGCGUUAAUCGGAAUUACUGGGCGUAAAGCGUGCGCAGGCGGUUUGCUAAGACCGAUGUGAAAUCCCCGGGCUCAACCUGGGAACUGCAUUGGCGACUGGCAGGCUAGAGUAUGGCAGAGGGGGGUAGAAUUCCACGUGUAGCAGUGAAAUGCGUAGAGAUGUGGAGGAAUACCGAUGGCGAAGGCAGCCCCCUGGGCCAAAUACUGACGCUCAUGCACGAAAGCGUGGGGAGCAAAACAGGAUUAGAUACCCUGGUAGUCCACGCCCUAAAACGAUGUCAACUAGUUGUUGGGGAUUCAUUUCCUUAGUAACGUAGCUAACGCGUGAAGUUGACCGCCUGGGGAGUACGGUCGCAAGAUUAAAACUCAAAUGAAUUGACGGGGUCAUAGCUGUUUCCU
rnacentral:rRNA from 1 species